rnacentral:lncRNA from 1 species
GUACAGACAUCUAUUGGACUUUCGCCUCCUUCUAUAUAUGCUUCGUGUUCAUGAUCAUGUGAUCAUUUUCGGCCGUUGACAAUUUCAAAUAUCAGUUUGAACCAACGGAACUGUUAACCGAACCGUAAAUUAAAUCGAAGAUGCCAAGUAAUCCUCAAUACUGUGCAAUAGCAGGGUGGCGUUUUGGUGAGGUAAAGGUGGUGUUAUGGUAUCGCUUUCGCCUCCCGUCACGGUGGUCGGUGGUUCGUGUCCCCGUGAGGAAAUUCAAUGACGAUUCCCUUGGAGAGCCUUAUAUUUCUGAGGAAAACUUACCUUACUUGACUGAGAAUUUCCGUUUUUUUUUUUUUAUUAUUGCUGCUUCUUUAUUUUUUAUAUUUGUUUAUAGUGCAUAGAAAAAAGUGUCUGUAUAUAUAUUCAAAUGUUUAUAUUUAAAUGGAG